rnacentral:rRNA from 2 species
CUUGAAUUUUAUAAGAGGUCCAGCCUGCCCAGUGACUCUGUUCAACGGCCGCGGUAUCCUAACCGUGCGAAGGUAGCGUAAUCACUUGUUCUUUAAAUGAGGACUAGUAUGAAUGGCACUACGAAGGUUAUACUGUCUCCUUUUUCUAAUCAGUGAAAUUAAUUUUCCCGUGAAGAAGCGGAAAUAUAACUAUAAGACGAGAAGACCCUAUGGAGCUUUAAACAACCCAGCAAUUACUUCUAAAAAUUUUAAAUUUCAGAAUAUUCAUUUUUUAAGUAAUAUGUCUGCAAGUUUUUGGUUGGGGUGACCAUGGAGAAUAACUUAACCUCCAUAUUGAAUGAACUCCAUUCUAAGCUGAAAAUUACCAAUUAAAGCAUCAACACACUGACAUUAUUGACCCA